rnacentral:tRNA from 1 species
GGGGAAGUAGCUCAAUGGCAGAGCAGCGCACCGCAAAGUGCGCAGGUUCCCUGGUUCGAAUCCGGGCUUCUCCG